rnacentral:rRNA from 1 species
AAAGAAAGCGUAAUAGCUCACUGGUCGAGUCGGCCUGCGCGGAAGAUGUAACGGGGCUAAACCAUGCACCGAAGCUGCGGCAGCGACGCUUAUGCGUUGUUGGGUAGGGGAGCGUUCUGUAAGCCUGUGAAGGUGUGCUGUGAGGCAUGCUGGAGGUAUCAGAAGUGCGAAUGCUGACAUAAGUAACGAUAAAGCGGGUGAAAAGCCCGCUCGCUGGAAGAC